GACAGAGGGGGCAAGCGUUGCUCGGAAUCACUGGGCGUAAAGGGCGCGUAGGCGGGCUGGCAAGUCAGUCGUGAAAUCUCUCGGCUCAACCGAGAAACGUCGGCUGAUACUGCCGUUCUUGAGGGAUGCAGAGGAGACUGGAAUUCCCGGUGUAGCGGUGAAAUUCGUAGAUAUUCGGAAGAACACCAGUGGCGAAGGCGACACACUGGGCCAUUACUGACGCUGAGGCGCGAAAGCGUGGGGAGCAAACAGG
rnacentral:rRNA from 1 species